GUGGCAGACGACGUCGGGACAACAGCCGGACCCCACCGACACCGGAGCCUUCCUGCCUCGCCACCCUCGAAGACCUGCCCUCCCCGGAGCACCUUGAGUCCAUAGCGGCGCCGAGGGCCGCGGUCUCCUCGGGCUCUGAGGAAGGAGCAAGAAUGCAUACAGCCGUUCGCUGGAACCCUCGGGACCUGGAAGAGUUCAUGGCAGUUGAAAUUGGGGCAGGAGUUCCUAGGAUGAACUUUUUGCCUUGUCUCUCCCAGCAGAGGAUGAGACUGCUCAAGAUUACCUCAGUUUUGUGGAUGAAUAAACCGAAGAUCCUAGAGGUUGAGAGAGAAGGGUAAAGAAGGAGAAAGAGACAGAGAAGGAAACAGAUUGGUUGCCUCUCGCACACCCGCAACUGAGGACCAGGUCUGGAAUCCAGGAAGGCCCCCUGAUGGCAUUCAACCUGAAACCUUUCUGUCCACUGGCCCACACUCAGUCCACCGAGCCUCAGCAACCAGGGUUGAUUCAAGAUGUUUUCAGACAAAUCUGGAGUUUAUAUCAACAGAAAAUAAUCCCUGAUACAGGAAGGAAUGAGGAACAAAGAAAUCGAUAUACUUCGUGUAACAGAGACAGCAAGUGAGCAAAUGCUGGAAAAUGGCGCCAAUGGACCUGCUUGGUGCACAGUUGCCACAAACCUUCAAUUUGUAAAAAAACACAGUGUAUCUGCAAGGCACAAUAAAGCAAGGUGCAAUAAAACUAGAUCGGACUGUCCCUAGUUUCUCUGAUUAUUCCUUGACUGAGUUUUCAGAGCCUCUUGUGAUGCUGCCAGUCACACUCCCCUGGGGAAUUUGUCCACGUAAAACACCGCCUCCAGCCCUGGCCGGCUGGCUCACUUGGAGCUGGUUGGAGCAUCGUUCCAUACACCAAAAGGUCGCAGGUUCAAUUCCUGGUCAAGGUGUCUCAGCUUUGGGCUAAUUUUUCUGCUGAUUCCUCAGCCUGGUAGUUCCUGGACCACACCGUGUAAAUUUGAAUCACAAACCUGUGCAUGGUUACAAAUUCUCACAGGAUCUGUGCUCCCUCACCCCUGGGGAAAGUCUCCUUGUUACUUGUCCAUGCCAGCGGGGAAACGUUCUAAUUCAUCUCUUUAUCAAGGAUGGAGGCUUCAGGGUGCCAGCUCUCUGCAGGCGGGGGAUCCCAUUUCCAACUUCCUCUGGGGUGUGGGUCAGAGUCUUAAGAUUUCUCGUACUUAUGUGCACUUUAAGGCUUAAGAGCAACGCUCCACUCACUCACCUUCCCACCCCCAGCUGCCACAGCAGGUUCAUAUGCAGGCCACGCCAGUUCUCAGCUCUCCAGCUGCUGUCAGUUCCCUUUCUUCCCUGCAAAGUUCGCUUUGCAUUUAAAAGAGUGUUAUGCUUUAACCAGCAUCUCGAACAGCUGGCUUAUUUGAGUGGACACAUGCCCCCUAGCUCCCCGGAAUGUUGGAAGUAUCUGCUCCUGUGAAGAGUUUGUGUACAGCAUGAUCUCCCAAGCACCAUUCUGGCUUAUUCCCCUGGCAGCGCCCACACAGGUGAUUACUUGUUUCAGUUUGUGCCAGAACUGACCAAAGAGGCCUGUGUGGUGACAAGUGAGCUAGAGUCAAAUGUGACCAACAGCCACUGCCAGCAGGCCUUGGGACUGGCUGUCCAGGAAUUCUGUGGAGGGAUGUCCAGCAUGCCAGGUGUCGUUCCAUCCAGGGUCGGGGAACGAAGGGAAGAGGUAUUAGUAAAACCACAGAUGGCUGCUUCCUGUGGCCCCCAACAAGAUGACGAAUCCUGCCCUGACUGAUGUAGCUCAGUGGAUUGAGCACGGGCCUGCGAACCAAAGGAUCGUGGUUCGAUUCCCAGUCAGGGUACAUGCCUGGGUUGUGGGCCAGUUCCCAGUGCGGGGUGCACGAGAGGCAA